GCCUUCAUUCUCCACACUUUCUCUUUCAAUUCCUCUCUCCCCCUUUGAGAAAGCCGCCGCAUCUGGAAGACCGGCGAGGUCGCCGUCACGCCGGUCACCGGCGCUGCUUCCCCGUCACAUCUGCUCUUCUCUCUCUCUUUUCUCUCAAUUCCAAUUCCUUUCUCAUAUCGUGCCCUGGUUUCCCCUUUCGAAAUGAGCCCUAACGCUCUCAUCAAAAUCAUCGCUGCUGCUUUCGAUUUCCGGCGAGCAGUGACCGGCUCGUGUCGUCUGCUCUCUUCUCAGAAGGAUCGGCGAGAUCGUCGCUCACUCUACCUCUUACUCUCUCACCGAAAUGCACAUGCUAGUUUCCCCCUUUCGGAACGAGCCCUAGCUCUCUGCUGAUUCAGGCGGAACCGUUGCUGCCUCUCUUAGAGUCCGUCCGCCGUGCUACCGGCUCCGGCUCCGGCUCCCUGAGUUGCCACCGUCACGGGGUCCCAACGGAUUCUCCCUGAUUCCCGAUGAGUAAUAGGCCCAUGUGGGCUGUCGUUACCAAGCGCCGCUGCACGCCUUCGGAAGUCGACGUCGGCUCUCAAGUCUCCGUGAAUCGUCGCCUGCUCCUCUGUUGUGCACGCCUCUCUGGAAGCCUCACUGUCGCCGACGGCCACUCCGCCUCCUCAAAACAGGGCAGCCACCGUUCCGACAUUCUCUCCAACUCAGCAAUUUCAGACUGAACUCAAGAAAGAAAUGGUGAAGGAGUUAGCCACUCUUACCUCUCUAAGUCUGCUAGAAGCUGAAUCAAAAUCCUCUCUUAGUGAAGAUGCAUUAAGAAAGAAAAAGAUACGAAUUUGCUAGCUGGAGAUAUAAUGGAAAAUGGUUGUUGGCUACACUUGAGUAUUUUGAAGGGAUGGGCAACGUAGGGUGGCUGAUUGACCCCCUACAUGUACCAAGAGUAUGGCUUGGCUGAAAGUUGGCAGCAGAGGGAGCAUGGCUUGAUCUGAAUUCGUGGCUUUUGCACAGGAAAAAGGAGGGAGGGGCUGUUGUAUGCACGUUGCAUUGUUUUCUUUUGACAAGCUUGAUGUAGCUGAUAGAGUAGGUGAAUGUGAUGUACCAUGUAAUGUGAUAAAUUACCACAAUUAAAUCCUUCAGUCUACAUAA